AUUAGUUCUGGUUAGAACCCGGGCAAGAAUU
rnacentral:tRNA from 1 species